GUCGAGUGCGCGGUAGCAAUACUGGCGCACGGCGCACGGGUGCGUAACACGUGGGUAACCUGCCCUGCAAUGGGGGAUAACCCGCCGAAAGGCGGGCUAAUACCGCAUGACAUUCCGGUGGCUUCGGACGCUGGAAUCAAAGCCCGCAAGGGCGUUGGAGGAGGGGCCCGCGGCCGAUUAGCUAGUUGGUGAGGUAACGGCUCACCAAGGCUGUGAUCGGUAGCCGGUCUGAGAGGAUGGCCGGCCACACUGGAACUGAGACACGGUCCAGACUCCUACGGGAGGCAGCAGUGGGGAAUCUUGCGCAAUGGGCGAAAGCCUGACGCAGCGACGCCGCGUGGGGGAUGAAGCUUCUCGGAGUGUAAACCCCUUUCGACCCGGACGAAACGCCCGCAAGGGUUUGACGGUACGGGUAUAAGAAGCCCCGGCUAACUACGUGCCAGCAGCCGCGGUAAGACGUAGGGGGCCAGCGUUGCUCGGAAUUACUGGGCGUAAAGGGUUCGUAGGCGGUGCGGUAAGUCGGAAGUGAAAUCUCUGGGCUUAACUCAGAGGCUGCUUUCGAAACUGCCGUGCUAGAGUGCGGGAGAGGCGAGUGGAAUUGCAGGUGUAGCGGUGAAAUGCGUAGAUAUCUGCAGGAACACCCGUGGCGAAGGCGGCUCGCUGGACCGCAACUGACGCUGAGGAACGAAAGCUAGGGGAGCAAACAGGAUUAGAUACCCUG
rnacentral:rRNA from 1 species